rnacentral:rRNA from 1 species
AUGUCUUCACCGCCUCCAAUUCCGCCACCGCCGCCACCGCCGUCGCUGCCCGUCAACUCCUCCACCGCCGUCGCCUCCGCGCCGGGCGCCACGGCCUCGCUCCUGGCGGGCGUCACGGCGUCGCUCUCGGCGCCGCCCCUCCAGGCACCCGGCACCGCGCCGGGCCACGGGCGGCCACCAGCUCCCGUCCAACCUACGCCGCCGCCAUCACCUCCCCCGCAGAAGCAGCAGUUCACACCGGAGGCAAUGGCCGGCGUCCUCACCGACCUCGUCGCCGCGGUCCAGGGCAUCCGCCUCUACCUGGCUAGCCCGUACGGGCCGCCCCCGCAGCUCCAUCCGGACGUGACCGCGGGACAGCCGGCGCUGCCAUGGUACUCCGUCCCCGCGGCCAUCACCGGGGGUUACCCGGCGCUGCCCUCACCGGUGGCUCCGACGCCGCCUUGGCCACAGUGGCCGACACCAGCGCUCGCGGCGCCACCCGCACCGCCAGCAGCCGCCCAGGGCCUGCAGUGGCCGGCCUACUCCGUCCCCGCGGCCAUCGCCGGGGGCUACCCGGUACUACCAUCGCCGGCCGCUUCCACGCCUCCCUGGCCCCAAUGGCCGACGCCAGCGCUCACGGCACCACCCGCGCCACCAGCAGCCGCCCAGGGCCCGCAGUGGCCGGCCUGGGCUGCGCCACCCACCGUCUCGCCGUCCCUCCCUGCGGCCACCGUGCAGGUGCCACCACCGCCCCUGCCCAGCCCUAGCCUGGGCCGGUCCGCGCCGAGCGGCCUUCCGAUCCAGGAGGUCCGUUUUCCCUCAUCACCGUCUUCGCUUCCAGGCUGGCUCCACAGGACGUCCCAUCCACCGGCUUAUACGGAGGCCCGGCCGUCGUUGGGUUCCCAGUUGCAGCCCGAGGCGUCAGGCGCCACGGGGAACUACGCCGACCUUCCCACCAUGGACCGGGCGCCGUCAUCAGCCCUCCGCCCCACCGAGGCAGUGGGCCAUGGCGCGCCCCACCAGCAGCCGCCCCGGUUCGCCAAGCUCGAUUUCGCCACGUAUGACGGCACGGAAGACCCCCUCAACUGGCUCAACCAGUGUGACCAGUUCUUUCGUGGGCAGCGCACCCUCGCCUCGGACCGUACCUGGCUCGCCUCUUAUCACCUCCGCGGCGCCGCGCAGACAUGGUACUACGCUCUCGAGCAGGACGAGGGCGCCAUGCCUCCUUGGGAGCGCUUCCGCCAGCUAUGCCUCCUCCGCUUUGGGCCCCCGGUUCGCGGGAGCCGCCUGGCGGAGCUCGGCCGCCUUCCCUUCACCUCCACGGUGCAGGACUACGCCGACCGUUUCCAGGCCAUGGCAUGCCAUGCGUCGGGGGUGACGGCACAGCAGCGGGCGACCUCUUUGUCGGUGGCCUUCCGGAUCACAUCCGCGUGGACGUUGAGCUUCGGGGACCCCAGGAUCUCCAGUCGGCCAUGUACUACGCCCGCGCGUUCGAGCGCCGCGCGGUGGCCAUCCAACAGGAAUCACCGUUCCGGACCGCUGGGUCGCUACCCGGGCCGGAUUCCGCACAGGCUUCUGCGGCACCCCUCGCCGCAACCGCGGGACGCCCGUUCCGCCGGCUCACCCCAGCCGAGCUCCUCGAGCGUCGCCGCAAAGGAUUGUGCUUCAACUGCGACGAGCCCUACACGCCCGGCCAUGCCUGCCCGCGACUCUUCUACCUGGAGGCUGCAGACUACAUUCCGGAGGACGCCGUCGCCGCUGACCUGGCCGCCCCAGCUGUCGAGAAGGUGCUUGACGCUGGCUGAUCGCCUCGAGGAGUUCCGCAAGCGCUUCCCACCUUACAGCUCGAGGACGAGCUGUUUGUGCAGGCGGGGAGAAGUGUUAUGGCCGGUUUAG